UACCUUCCCGCUGUAGCGGUUCCUAUUUAUCUACUUGCAUUUUGAUGUGCUUUCGAACUGCUAGGUUGGCAGGAGCUGGGACCAAGCAAUGGGAGCUCACCCCGUCACAGGGAUUCGAACCGCCGACCUUCUGAUCAGCAAGCCCUAGGCUCAGUGGUUUAACCACAGCGCCACCUGGGUCCCCAUUAUCCAAGUAGUUUUUAAUAAUUAAAAAUAAUGAUGAUUCAAUUUAUUUGUAGUACAAAACAUUUGUUUUCGUUCAUUCUUCAGGGAAACUUCAACAAUCCUAUGGUGCUCCAAUUUGAUAUACAGUGCAGACACCUAGUGAGGUGCACGGGGCUGAGAGACUUCAGAUAAGUGUGACUAGCCCAAGGUCACCCAGCAGCUGCAUGUGGAGGAGCGGAGACGCGUACCCGGUUCCCCAGAUUACGAGUCUACCGCUCUUAACCACUACACCACACUGGAUAGGUAGGUUUUUUCCCCCUCUCAUGACAGGAGAACUCAUAGGCUUCCAAGGAAGUGUAUAGUGUGCUCUCACAAAUCUGGUUGGCUUUAAAAAGAGGAUUAGACAAUUUCACGAAGGUUAAGGACUACUGAUGGCUGUGUGUAUGAGAUCCUGUAUAUUCAGCUCAGGAUGAAACUAAAAGGUUAACUAUAUCAUGGGAAAGAGCCAACAAAACCAUUCACACCUCAAAAUAAAAGGAGAAAAACACAAAGCAGCCAUGUUUUAGUUAACUGUGGUAUAAUCUUGUACAAGUUGGGGUGGGUCUCACAAUUACACCAGCUUCACAAGAUACAGUGCAGGCAAAGGUUUUUUUUUGCUGCUGCCUGUUGUGCAGCUUCCAUCUAGGCAAUACAGAGUGGAGCUGGAGUGGGAAGUGAAGGGGGGGAACAGUACCCAACAGUUACAAUUCAGCUGCCACGAACAGCAACUAAACAGCAUUUUCCAGCUGUCACAAGAUUAAAAAAGGUUUUGUUUGCAACAACGCUCAAAAAAGCAACAAGGCUAACCGUUAAUAGCUAACAAGUGAAGAGAGGCCAGAA